UACAGAGACUGCGAGCGUUAUUCGGAUUCACUGGGCGUAAAGGGUGCGCAGGCGGCCGAGUGUGUGAGGCGUGAAAGCCCGGGGCUUAACCCCGGAAUUGCACCUCAAACUACACGGCUAGAGCAUUGGAGAGGGUAGCAGAAUUCACGGUGUAGCAGUGAAAUGCGUAGAUAUCGUGAGGAAUACCAGAGGCGAAGGCGGCUACCUGGACAAUUGCUGACGCUCAGGCACGAAAGCGUGGGGAGCAAACGGG
rnacentral:rRNA from 1 species